rnacentral:rRNA from 1 species
CCCUUAGAUGUUCUGGGCCGCACGCGCGCUACACUGACGGAGCCAACGAGUACUUUCCUUGUCCGGAAGGACUGGGUAAUCUUGUGAAACUUCGUCGUGCUGGGGAUAGAUCAUUGCAAUUUUUGAUCUUAAACGAGGAAUUCCUAGUAAGCGCGAGUCAUCAGCUCGCGCUGAUUACGUCCCUGCCCUUUGUACACACCGCCCGUCGCUACUACCGAUUGAAUGGUUUAGUGAGGCCUUCUGACUGGCGCCGCUACUCUGGCAACAGAGCGGCGGAUGCCGGGAAGUUGGUCAAACUUGAUCAUUUAGAGGAAGUAAAAGUCGUAACA